rnacentral:rRNA from 1 species
UACGUAGGGGGCAAGCGUUGUCCGGAAUUAUUGGGCGUAAAGAGCGUGUAGGCGGUCCGGUAAGUCAGCUGUGAAAGUCAAGGGCUCAACCCUUGAAUGCCGGUUGAUACUGUCGGGCUAGAGUCCGGAAGAGGCGAGUGGAAUUCCCGGUGUAGCGGUGAAAUGCGUAGAUAUGCGGAGGAACACCGAUGGCGAAGGCAAUCCCCUGGACCUGUACUGACGCUCAUGCACGAAAGCGUGGGGAGCAAACAGG